rnacentral:rRNA from 1 species
GAGGAAUAUUGGUCAAUGGACGCAAGUCUGAACAGCCACGGUGCGUGGAGGGAGACGGGCCUUCGGGUUGUAAAACUCCUUUUUAACGGGAUUAAGGGCCCCAGGGGGUGGGGUUUGGAUGUUCCGGUUGAAUUAGGGACGGCCAACUCCGGUGCCAGCAGCCGCGGUAAUACGGAGGAUCCGGGCGUUAUCAGGAUUUAUUGGGUUUAAAGGGUGCUCAGGCGGGGGGUUAAGGCGGCGGUGAAAUUUUGCAGCUCAACUGUAAAAGUGCCUUCGAAACUGGUUCCCUUGAGUGCGGAUGAGGUAGGCGGGAUUUGUGGUGUAGUGGUGAAAUGCAUAGAUAUCACGAGGAACACCGAUUGCGCAGGCAGCUUACCAAGCCGUAACUGACGCUCAAGCACGAAGGCGUGGGGAUCAAACA